rnacentral:rRNA from 1 species
CAGCCGCCGCGGUAAUACAGAGGGUGCGAGCGUUAAUCGGAAUUACUGGGCGUAAAGCGUGCGUAGGCGGCUUCUUAAGUCGGAUGUGAAAUCCCUGAGCUUAACUUAGGAAUUGCAUUCGAUACUGGGAAGCUAGAGUAUGGGAGAGGAUGGUAGAAUUCCAGGUGUAGCGGUGAAAUGCGUAGAGAUCUGGAGGAAUACCGAUGGCGAAGGCAGCCAUCUGGCCUAAUACUGACGCUGAGGUACGAAAGCAUGGGGAGCAAACAGGAUUAGAUACCCCAGUAGUCCCUGUCUCUUAUAC